GCCGUCGUUGGGUAGUGGUAGCCCGCUUGCUUGGAGAGCAAGUUUCCUUUGGAUAUCCAGGUUCGAUUCCUGGCGACGGCG
rnacentral:tRNA from 6 species